rnacentral:rRNA from 1 species
GUGAGGAAUAUUGGACAAUGGAUGGAAAUCUGAUCCAGCCAUGCCGCGUGCAGGAAGACGGCCCUAUGGGUUGUAAACUGCUUUUAUACGGGAGCAAUAAGGUCUAUGCAUAGAUUGAUGAGAGUACCGUAUGAAUAAGCAUCGGCUAACUCCGUGCCAGCAGCCGCGGUAAUACGGAGGAUGCGAGCGUUAUCCGGAUUUAUUGGGUUUAAAGGGUGCGUAGGCGGCUUUGUAAGUCAGCGGUGAAAUUUUGCAGCUUAACUGUAAAAGCGCCGUUGAUACUGUGAAGCUAGGAUUUGGUUGCUGUGGGCGGAAUGUGUGGUGUAGCGGUGAAAUGCAUAGAGAUCACACAGAAUAUCGAUUGCGAAGGCAGCUCACAAAGCCAAUAUUGACGCUGAGGCACGAAAGUGUGGGAUCAAACAGGAUUAGAAACCCUGGUAGUCC